GUGGGGAAUUUUGGACAAUGGGCGCAAGCCUGAUACAGCAAUGCCGCGUGCAGGAAGAAGGCCUUCGGGUUGUAAACUGCUUUUGUACGGAACGAAACGGUCCGGGUUAAUACCCUGGGCUAAUGACGGUACCGUAAGAAUAAGCACCGGCUAACUACGUGCCAGCAGCCGCGGUAAUACGUAGGGUGCAAGCGUUAAUCGGAAUUACUGGGCGUAAAGCGUGCGCAGGCGGUUUUGUAAGACAGGCGUGAAAUCCCCGGGCUCAACCUGGGAAUUGCGCUUGUGACUGCAAGGCUGGAGUGCGGCAGAGGGGGAUGGAAUUCCGCGUGUAGCAGUGAAAUGCGUAGAUAUGCGGAGGAACACCGAUGGCGAAGGCAAUCCCCUGGGCCUGCACUGACGCUCAUGCACGAAAGCGUGGGGAGCAAACAGGAUUAGAUACCCGUGUAGUCC
rnacentral:rRNA from 1 species